rnacentral:rRNA from 1 species
AACGAACGCUGGCGGCAGGCUUAACACAUGCAAGUCGAGCGCCCCGCAAGGGGAGCGGCAGACGGGUGAGUAACGCGUGGGAAUCUACCCAUCCCUACGGAAUAGCUCCGGGAAACUGGAAUUAAUACCGUAUACGCCCUACGGGGAAAGAUUUAUCGGGAUGGAUGAGCCCGCGUUGGAUUAGCUAGUUGGUGGGGUAAAGGCCUACCAAGGCGACGAUCCAUAGCUGGUCUGAGAGGAUGAUCAGCCACAUUGGGACUGAGACACGGCCCAAACUCCUACGGGAGGCAGCAGUGGGGAAUAUUGCGCAAUGGGCGAAAGCCUGACGCAGCCAUACCGCGUGUGUGAAGAAGGCC